rnacentral:misc_RNA from 1 species
UCUCCGUAGGUGAACCUGCGGAGGGAUCAUUACAGAGUUCUCGCCCUCGCGGGAAGAUCUCCCACCCACUGUUAUCGUUACUGUGUUGCUUUGGCGGGCCGCCGGGCCCCGCUCGGCCGCCGGCUCCGGCUGGCGCGCGCCCGCCAGAGGCCCAGCAAACUCUGAAUGUUAGUGUCGUCUGAGUACUAUAUAAUAGUUAAAACUUUCAACAACGGAUCUCUUGGUUCUG